GGAUUGUAGAAAGCAGUGUGACCAGUGC
rnacentral:piRNA from 1 species